AGAGUUUGAUCCUGGCUCAGGACGAACGCUGCGGCGNUAACACAUGCGUCGAACGGGCAUCGCUUCGGUGGGGAUCUAGCGGCGAACGGGUGAGUAACACGUGGGUAACCUCCCCCGGCUUCGGGAUAACUCAAGAAAUUGGGGCUAAUCCGGAUGUGCCCUGGCCGCAUGGUCUGGUGGUGGAAAGGGUUUCCGGCUGGGGAUGGGCCCGCGGCCUAUCAGCUUGUUGGUGGGGUAGUGGCCUACCAAGGCGACGACGGGUAGCCGGCCUGAGAGGGUGACCGGCCACACUGGGACUGAGACACGGCCCAGACUCCUACGGGAGGCAGCAGUGGGGAAUAUUGCGCAAUGGGCGGAAGCCUGCGCAGCGACGCCGCGUGGGGGAUGACGGCCUUCGGGUUGUAAACCUCUUUCAGCAGGGACGAAGCGGAAGUGACGGUACCUGCAGAAGAAGCCCGCCACUACGUGCCAGCAGCCGCGGUAAUACGUAGGGUGCAAGCGUUGUCCGGAAUUAUUGGGCGUAAAGAGCUCGUAGGCGGUUUGUCGCGUCGGCUGUGAAAACCCGGAGCUCAACUCCGGGCCUGCAGUCGAUACGGGCAGACUUGAGUGUUGCAGGGGAGACUGGAAUUCCUGGUGUAGCGGUGAAAUGCGCAGAUAUCAGGAGGAACACCGGUGGCGAAGGCGGGUCUCUGGGCAACAACUGACGCUGAGGAGCGAAAGCGUGGGGAGCGAACAGAUUAGAUACCCUAGUAGUCC
rnacentral:rRNA from 1 species